AAACAAUUUAUUGUCUGCGGAUCGUUGACGGAGAGUUUAGAGGGGGGGGAGAACAAAUCCUACCCGAGUUAGUUGCUCUGCUAGCCGGCCAUCAAGUGGCUACAUAGAGAAAUUCAGGCGCGCGUGCGCGUGUGGAAAGUAUCUAUCUGGGAUGCUGUCUUCCUCGCGCACCCCUCUCUCGCUCGCGCGCUCGGAGCCGCUCGGAGCCGUCGCCAGGAGUGGUAGGCUCCAAUUUGACGGCAGCAGCGCUUGCUUUCUAAAGAAAGCUUAGCUCUCACUUUUCAGUCUGUCUCAUUACCGCUCUCAUUGUUUCUUUCGACAGCGAGAAACGGAGCAGUUCACUUGGAGUCUAUUUGGAAUAAGAAAGCAUUGCUGUUUUCUGACUGGAGAGAAGAAAGAUAAGACUCCUCUGGAUUUCCUAAGGAAUUUUAUCGGAACGCCUUGUUACCGUGGCUUUUGAAUUCAUCAGCUGGGGUAUAUAAUGUGACCAACUGUUCCACAAUAGCCAUCCCCCGAUUGGAGUAAACUAACGGACAAAAUGUCUUCUACUGCUACUUACAGCUAUUUUCUCUCACAUAUACAGUACAUGUAGUUAACUAAUUAUACAUACGGUAUAUUCAUAAUUUCCUCUUUCUGCAAAUUCAUUCUGAUCUGAACUCCAACCCUCCGAUGUCCACAGAUUAACCCAUCUUCCAAGUAUAAUACCAUUAUGCUAUUUCCUUUUGCAAACAGUGAGAUAUGUUUUAAGGGAUCUCAUUGGGGUCCACCUGUGUUUCCUGAAUGCCUAAGUAAAGGAGGGAGUAGGGGCGCGG
ensembl:lncRNA